CUAGUGGACACUGUGAGACAUGGGGACGCUGUGAGACAUGGGGACAUUGGGAGACACAUUUGGACACGGAGACACUAGGGACACAGUGUCUCCAUGUCUCCCAGUGUCCCCAUGUCUCCCAGUGUCCCCUAGUCUCCCAGUGUCUGUGUCU